UUUAUUCUAUGGGGACAACUGAAGAACAUUUUUUAUACUGUAUUCUGUAUUCAGCCAGCCCAGAUAUCAGUCUCUCCUUUCCUUACUGUAUUCAGCCAGCCCAGGUAUCAGUCUCUCCGUUCCUUACUGUAUUCAGCCAGCCCAGAUAUCAGUCUCUCCUUCCCUUACUGUAUUCAGCCAGCCCAGAUAUCAGUCUCUCCUUCCCUUACUGUAUUCAGCCAGCCCGCCCGAUAUCAGUUCCCGUUCCUUACUGUAUUCAGCCAGCCCAGAUAUCAGUCUCUCCGUUCCUUACUGUAUUCAGCCAGCCCAGAUAUCAGUCUCUCCGUUCCUUACUAUAUUCAGCCAGCCCAGAUAGUCUCUCCGUUCCUUACGGAUUCAGCCCGCCCAGGUAUCAGUCACUCCUUCCCUUACUGUAUUCAGCCAGCCCCGAUAUCAGUCUCUCCGUUCCUUACUGUAUCAGCCAGCCCAGGUAUCAGUCACUCCUUCCCUUAUGUAUUCAGCCAGCCCAGGUAUCGUCUCUCCGUUCCUUACUGUAUUCAGCACCAGCCCAGGUAUCAUUCACUCCUUCCCUUACUGUAUUCAGCCAGCCCAGGUAUCAGUCUCUCCUUCUCUUACUGUAUUCAGCCAGCCAGGUAUCAGUCUCUCCUUCCCUUACUGUAUUCAGCCAGCCAGGUAUCAGUCACUCCUUCCCUUACUGUAUUUAGGCCAGCCCAGGUAUCAGUCUCUCCCUCCCUUACUGUAUUCAGCCAGCCCAGUAUCAUCACUCCUUCUCUUACUGUAUUCAGCCAGCCCAGGUAUCAGUCACCCCUUCUCUUACUGUAUUCUGCCAGCCCAGGUAUCAGUCACUCCUUCUCUUACUGUAUUCAGCCAGCCCAGGUAUCAGUCUCUCCUUCCCUUACUGUAUCAGCAGCCCCGGUAUCAGUCACUCCUUCUCUUACUGUAUUUCAGCCAGCCCAGGUUCAGUCCUCCUUCCUUACUGUAUUCAGCCAGCCCAGGUAUCAGUCCUCCUUCCCUUACUGUAUUCAGCCAGCCCAGGUAUCAGUCACUCCUUCCCUUACUGUAUUAGCCAGCCCAGGUAUCAGUUCUCCCUCCCUUACUGUAUUCAGCCAGCCCAGGUAUCAGUCACUCCUUCUCUUACUGUAUUCAGCCAGCCCAGGUAUCAGUCACUCCUUCUCUUACUGUAUUCAGCCAGCCCAGGUAUCAGUCAUCCUUCCCUUACUGUAUUCAGCCAGCCCAGGUAUCAGUCACUCCUUCUCUUACUGUAUUCAGCCAGCCCAGGUAUCAGUCUCUCUUCCUUACUGUAUUCACCAGCCCCGGUAUCAGUCUCUCCUUCCCUUACUGUAUUCAGCCAGCCCAGGUAUCAGUUCUCCUUCUCUUACUGUAUUCAGCCAGCCCAGGUAUCAGUCACUCCUUCUCUUACUGUAUUCAGCCAGCCCAGGUAUCAGUCUCUCCUUCCCUUACUGUAUUCAGCCAGCCCAGGUAUCAGUCACUCCUUCCCUUACUGUAUUCAGCCAGCCCAGGUAUCAGUCUCUCCUUCCCUUACUGUAUUCAGCCAGCCCCAGGUAUCAGUCUCUCCUUAUCUUACUGUAUUCAGCCAGCCCAGUAUCAGUCACUCCUUCCCUUACUGUAUUCAGCCAGCCCAGAUAUCAGUCUCUCCUUCCCCUACUGUAUUCAGCCAGCCCAGGUAUCAGUCUCUCCUUCCCUCUGUAUCAUCACCCGCCACAGCCUCAGUCACUGGUCAGCUCAACAACACAACCCGUUGCUUCUCUCCUCCUUGAUCACUCCUCUCAUUGACACACACACACACACACACACACACACACACACACACACACACACACACACACACACACACACACACACACACCACACACACACACACACCACACACACACACACACACAGAAGGGACGCUCUAUUGUAAGAAGCCCACAGCACCACAGGAACCCCGAGACUUUGACCUUUGCCCCAAAUGGCCCUUUUAUCCUUCAUAGGGCCCUGGUCAAAAGUAGGGAACUAUAUAGGAAUUCCUGCCAUUUGGGACGCAAGCUUUGAUCUUAAUGGAAGCACACAAACAAUCCCAACAACACAGAUGUAGAUUCAACCUAACCUACAAAAACAAUCCACAACAACACAGAUGUAGA
ensembl:lncRNA